rnacentral:misc_RNA from 1 species
GGGCAAGCAAGAUCUUCUAGGGAAAAUGUCGUCUCUCGGAACAUCAAAGGGCAUUUUGGAGAUCGCAAAGUUCGGUGUGUAUGUGACCGUUCCCAUCUUUCUUAUGUACACUUUCGCCAACAAUACCAAGAAUCUCCAGAAAUUCAUGGGCGAUCGUUCAUACAUAGUUUAUCCCCCGGAGGGACCAAGGCCUCCCUCACCAGAGGAAUUGAGGGAGAUGGCACGAGAAUUAGCUCGUCAGAGGAACAAUCGUUGAUACCACCUAUGAGCAACUUUGUUUGGACUUUUAGUUGUGUUAACUGUAAGUUCUAAUAAAGUUGCUCAUAGGUGGUAUCAACGAUU